UACCAGCACCCCGAGUGGUCGGGACGAUUAUUGGGCCUAAAGCCUCCGUAGCCGGUUCUGCAAGUCCUCCGUUAAAUCCAACUGCUUAACAGAUGGGCCGCGGAGGAUACUACAGAGCUAGGAGGCAGGAGAGGCAAGCGGUACUCAGUGGGUAGGGGUAAAAUCCGUUGAUCCAUUGAAGACCACCAGUGGCGAAGGCGGCUUGCCAGAAUGCGCUCGACGGUGAGGGAUGAAAGCUGGGGGAGCAAACCGG
rnacentral:rRNA from 1 species